rnacentral:tRNA from 1 species
AGCUCAAUUGGCAGAGCAGCGGUUUUGUAAACCGCAGGUUGCGGGUUCGAGUCCCACCAGUG